UUAGCCCCAUCGCAACAGGGCAAGAGCAGGAGGCCAGUCAUGUUUUUCGAUAAUGUGGUGAUCGCCGGAGUGCUGACUGUCGGCCUCAUGGUUCUGUUUUUCGCAGGGUUUGGAUUCUUCAUCUGGAAAGACGCGAACAAGCGUAAAAAACCAUAGAUCAACGUCGAUCUUUCCAGUUAUACGAGCACGCAAGGCAUUUUGGGCAACUUCGGUUGCCCUUUUUUUUG
rnacentral:sRNA from 1 species